GCGGCUGCUCCGUGAGACACCUGGUGCCCUUCUUCAGAAACCGGACAACGGACUCGGUGUGCCGGGAGACUGGACGUCUGUACGUACCUUAAGAGAGAACACAUUCUAUUUAAAGCCCUUCAGACACCAUGCCCAGGGCCAGUGAGGAGGCAGUGGGGAGAAGGAGGAGGAACUGUGGAAGAUGUACCAACACGCAAACAGCUGCAUGGACUCUACAGCACUAACUACUGACAUGUGCAGGCUGUGACAGAGUACAUCUCUCCACCCCAAGAUAUUCUAGAAGGGGAAAUAAGGACCAUAUUCUGCCUUAGGCACAGGUGAGUAUCAGCAUUACACCCCACAAGGGUACAUCUGCUUGUUUGUGUAUGAGCAUCGGGUAUCCUGGAACAGGGUGUUUUCAGGUGACACAAGAGUAAAAUUUGUCCUGAGACAGCUCCUCUCCAGAUCCUGGAAUGUACAGAAGUACAGUGAGUUUGUUUUCUGCACCACUUUCCUGAUGUCCUGAAAGGCCCCAGAGCAGCUGAGAGCAGGCUGUCCCGAUGUCCUGGCAGGCUGUCCAGCUGCUGCUGUUGUGUAAUUGCAGUUGCAGAACACAGUUGUCUGUACCACUUGGAAAUCAGAGCCUUCAAGACAGUCUGUCAGCAACUUUUUCAACUCUAGCUCUAAAGACAUUCAAGUCUAAAGCUCAUAUACUUCGUGGAUGUACAGCCUCAUCAUUGUAACUGGAGUCAGUACAGCUUUUGCAGCCGUAGUUUACACAUCACCCUCAGCACUGCUCAGUGAUCAGCAGGAUAGACACAGUGUUUCUAGGAGAAAAAGGUACCCCCUUCUCCACUGUACCUUCUUUCCACUUUGACUACCUUCUUUGCUGUCCAUCUCUCCAAUGCUUCUCUGGUUUCCCUCAGCAUUAUAUUUUCUCUACUUUGUUUUUGGUACACUCUCCCCAGAUUGCUCAGGAGCAGCACCUGCUUUCACAGCAGAUGUAGAGUGAAGGUGAGCAGAUCUCUGCCACUGAGCACAGGCCUUCAGAUGCUGCUGCUCUCCCUCCCAGUCCUGCCUUCCCCAGGGUCUAAUGCUCACCCCUAGCCCGUGUCAUUCCAGUGCUUGAGCCUGGGAGCCCCACACAGCCCAGGGAGUGCAGCACCUACAGGAUGCAGGAGGCUGCACUCUAUCACCCACAGCUGCUCCAGCUGUG